AAAUUGAAGAGUUUGAUCAUGGCUCAGAUUGAACGCUGGCGGCAGGCCUAACACAUGCAAGUCGAGCGGUAGCACAGAGAGCUUGCUCUCGGGUGACGAGCGGCGGACGGGUGAGUAAUGUCUGGGAAACUGCCUGAUGGAGGGGGAUAACUACUGGAAACGGUAGCUAAUACCGCAUAACGUCGCAAGACCAAAGUGGGGGACCUUCGGGCCUCAUGCCAUCAGAUGUGCCCAGAUGGGAUUAGCUAGUAGGUGGGGUAACGGCUCACCUAGGCGACGAUCCCUAGCUGGUCUGAGAGGAUGACCAGCCACACUGGAACUGAGACACGGUCCAGACUCCUACGGGAGGCAGCAGUGGGGAAUAUUGCACAAUGGGCGCAAGCCUGAUGCAGCCAUGCCG
rnacentral:rRNA from 1 species